rnacentral:tRNA from 1 species
GGGCAGUUAGCUCAGCUUGGUUAGAGCGUCACAUUGACAUUGUGAAGGUCACUGGUUCGAGUCCAGUACUGCCCA